AGUGAACGCUGGCCGUAGGCCUAACACAUGCAAGUCGAACGGCAGCACAGUAAGAGCUUGCUCUUACGGGUGGCGAGUGGCGGACGGGUGAGGAAUACAUCGGAAUCUACUUUUUCGUGGGGGAUAACGUAGGGAAACUUACGCUAAUACCGCAUACGACCUACGGGUGAAAGCAGGGGAUCUUCGGACCUUGCGCGAUUGAAUGAGCCGAUGUCGGAUUAGCUAGUUGGCGGGGUAAAGGCCCACCAAGGCGACGAUCCGUAGCUGGUCUGAGAGGAUGAUCAGCCACACUGGAACUGAGGCACGGUCCAGACUCCUACGGGAGGCAGCAGUGGGGAAUAUUGGACAAUGGGCGCAAGCCUGAUCCAGCCAUACCGCGUGGGUGAAGAAGGCCUUCGGGUUGUAAAGCCCUUUUGUUGGGAAAGAAAAGCAGCAGGUUAAUACCCCGCUGUUCUGACGGUACCCAAAGAAUAAGCACCGGCUAACUUCGUG
rnacentral:rRNA from 1 species